rnacentral:rRNA from 1 species
UCGGGAAUUUUGGGCAAUGGGGGAAACCCUGACCCAGCAACGCCGCGUGAAGGAUGAAGUAUUUCGGUAUGUAAACUUCGAAAGAAUAGGAAGAAUAAAUGACGGUACUAUUUAUAAGGUCCGGCUAACUACGUGCCAGCAGCCGCGGUAAUACGUAGGGACCAAGCGUUGUUCGGAUUUACUGGGCGUAAAGGGCGCGUAGGCGGCAUGACAAGUCACUUGUGAAAUCUCCGGGCUUAACUCGGAACGGUCAGAUGAUACUGCUUUGCUAGAGUGCAGAAGGGGCAAUCGGAAUUCUUGGUGUAGCGGUGAAAUGCGUAGAUAUCAAGAGGAACACCUGAGGUGAAGACGGGUUGCUGGGCUGACACUGACGCUGAGGCGCGAAAGCCAGGGGAGCAAACGGGAUUAGAUACGCCAGUAGUCCCUGAGCGGGCUGGCAAGGCGCAU